UUAGCUCUCAAUUACUUCAGAAAAAUUCUUUUGCAUUUGAUUUCUUCUUCACAGUUGAAUGGCCGUAUUACAGGGUUUCUGGAUUCUUUCUCUUUCUCUGCCUUAGCGACGUUGGUGUGGGCAUAAGUUACACCACCAACCGUCUCGCAAAAUCCAUAAAGCAUAUACAGAGAAGAAGGAGAGGGUUUUCUGGUGGCCAAUUUAAUCUUGCACAUGAUGAGACACCUUCCCAUUCAAGGUGAGAGCGGGAACAGUGAAAAUGGGGAAUGCAAAACACCAUUAAGGAGUAGAGGAAUGAAAAAAAACAUCCAUAUUUGGGUUUUGUUGGCAUGAUAAUGCUAACAUUUAUAGUCAGGUAAUCAUCCAUUUCAUUUUAUGAUGAUUAAGUUGAGAAAUUUAGAAAGAAAUAUAAUGGUCUUGGUGGACUUAAUACGCUGGUGAAAUUCUUCUUUAUUUUACAGGUGAAAUUAGUCUUCCUUCUCAAAUACAAUUUUUCACAAGUAUUGCAGUUCAAUAGUGGAUUUUACUAAUGAAACCAUUACAAACUUCGGACACCAAUAAACUGAUAACACGUGCAGAUUUUGUUUGUGAGGUCUCCCAGGCUCCAUUGGAGAUUCGGGUUGUAUAUCGUGUUGUUGUACAAAGAAGGGUAACUUUCAGUCUGAAGUUCUCUUUGGUCCCUCUUAACAUCCUUUAUUUAGCAGGAUUUUGUUCAUAUGGUUAGUUGUUGUAAAUGUAACUGAGUUUAGCAAAUCAAUUACUCAAUUACGUACCUGCAGAAUCACAGACUUUGGGUGUACUCUUCAAUGUACUCAAGCCAGCAGAGAAAUUCUUCAAAAAUAAUAUCCACAAAAUGCACACCGAACUACUUACUGUGCCCGAAGGAACUUAUGUAGGUUCGCGUCAUUGAAAAUAUACUUAAAUGAUGCUUCAAGGAGGGCACUCCUAGCAGAACUUAAAAUGUACCACACCCUGGGAAGUUUUUAGUCGAAAGUUGCACUCAUUCAAUACGACGUGACGAAAUAAUCAAGAAGAUGCCACUAAAAGAAUUGCUUAUAGAAUCUUCCAUAAAUAUAUGGUUGAUUUUAGAAUCAUUGAAAUUCUUCAUACAUUUAACUUUUCUACCGUUUCAAAUUUUACUGUUUAGUACUUAAUCUCUUGCUUUCCCUUAA